CACUCGACUUUAACAGACACAGACGACCCUGAAGGUGUGGACUGUCUGCUGGUGGGAUGCUGGAUGGCAAUGUUUUCUUCCAAAUUGUUCUGCACGUUUUUGGCGAGAGCAUGAGGCUGUGCAGCGUCCCCUCCCUGGCGCCCGCCUGUGCCCUGCACAUUGGCCUACACUGCGGUGAUCUCACUUGGCCCCCCCCUGAUUCCCGACAUACAGCAGCGGAAGCUGAGGCUCCGGGGGAACAGCCUCAACUGAUUCUGUCCCUGAACUUCCAUACACAGCCCGGGAGUUGUCUUAGAGUCAUGAUUUAUUUAACUGUUCUUUCAUUUUACAGAACAUAAAAUGUAUUGUUUCCAACUUUUUUCCUAUGGUAAAUAAUGCUAAAGUAAAUAUCUCUGUGCAUGAA
rnacentral:lncRNA from 1 species